rnacentral:rRNA from 1 species
CCUACGGGUGACAGCAGUGAGGAAUAUUGGUCAAUGGGCGCGAGCCUGAACCAGCCAAGUCGCGUGAGGGAAGACGGUCCUAUGGAUUGUAAACCUCUUUUGUCGGGGAGCAAAAGACGCCACGCGUGGCGUUCCGAGAGUACCCGAAGAAAAAGCAUCGGCUAACUCCGUACCAGCAGCCGCGGUAAUACGGAGGAUGCGAGCGUUAUCCGGAUUUAUUGGGUUGAAAGGGUGCGCAGGCGGAAGAUCAAGUCAGCGGUAAAAGUGAGAGGCUCAACCUGUUCGAGCCGUUGAAACUGGGUGUCUGGAGUGAGCGAGAGGUAUGCGGAAUGCGUGGUGUAGCGGUGAAAUGCAUAGAUAUCACGCAGAACUCCGAUUGCGAAGGCAGCAUACCGGCGCUCAACUGACGCUCAUGCACGAAAGUGUGGGUAUCGAACAGGAUUAGAUACCCGAGUAGUC